UCCGGUUUGUCAUCGGCAGUCUCUCAUGAGUCCCCGGCAUUACCCGCUGGCAACAUGAGACGGGGGUUGCGCUCGUUGCGGGACUUAACCCAACACCUCACGGCACGAGCUGACGACAGCCAUGCACCACCUGUGAAGGUGCCCCGAAGGGAGACCGUGUUUCCACGGCUGUCACCAACAUGUCAAGCCCAGGUAAGGUUCUUCGCGUUGCGUCGAAUUGGACCACAUGCUCCGCUGCUUGUGCGGGCCCCCGUCAGUUCCUUUGAGUUUUAGCCUUGCGGCCGUACUCCCCAGGCGGGGUGCUUAAUGCGUUAGCUACGGCACGGAGAACGUGAAUGUCCCCCACACCUAGCGCCAACGUUUACAGCGUGGACUAC
rnacentral:misc_RNA from 1 species